rnacentral:rRNA from 1 species
GAUGAACGCUGGCGGCGUGCUUAACACAUGCAAGUCGAACGAGAAGUGGAGACGGAAACCUUCGGGCGGAAGACUUUACUUCGAGUGGCGGACGGGUGAGUACCGCGUGGGUAACCUGCCUCAUACAGGGGGAUAACAGUUGGAAACGACUGUUAAUACCGCAUAAGACCACAGCACCGCAUGGUGCGGGGGUAAAAACUCCGGUGGUAUGAGAGGGACCCGCGUUCGAUUAGCCAGUUGGCGGGGUAACGGCCCACCAAAGCGACGAUCGAUAGCCGAUCUGAGAGGAUGACCGGCCACAUUGGGACUGAGACACGGCCCAAACUCCUACGGGAGGCAGCAGUGGGGAAUAGUGCACAAUGGGGGAAACCCUGAUGCAGCGACGCCGCGUGAGUGAAGAAGUAUUUCGGUAUGUAAAGCUCUAUCAGCAGGGAAGAAAAUGACAGUACCUGAGUAAGAAGCCCCGGCUAACUACGUG